GUUGUGGCUCAACUAUUGAAACGAAUUUGAAGUUUUGUUCACAAUGAGGGCAGUCGGUAGUAAUUAUAGUAUUGACAACGAAGGCUCUUUGCCAGCUCCUCCCCGCUCGACCAGUAACGAGACUACUUCUACGAGUGCACCCACCAGUAUGGCUCCGACGGCGACAAAAAGUCGAAAUCGACCACAAAUAUGUCACUAUGCAGGUACAGUGCCUUCAAGUGAGUGAAAGAAAAGGAAAAGAUCUCUUUGAUUGUGCGGAAAAAAGGGUCGAAACGAGCGAAGCCAAACGACAACAACGUCAAAAUAACCAUCUCGGUAAUGAAGCAUGUCACAAAGAUUAAACGAUGAGACUCACUGCCGCCGAAAGUACCUGCCUCGUCCUUGACAAAGAAGAUCCUUGAUGCAGUAGUUAUGAAGCAUGCAACGUUCAAUAAAUGUUUCAAUUCCAAACUGAAAUUCGCACCAGUGUUUAAAGAUUGGACUGAAGUCAUCACUGUUCCUGGAACUGAUCCUUCUAAUUUCUGCAUAGAGCCGGACACAUGGCAGCAUUAUUUGCCUCAGGGCUUGGGUGUUGCUAUUAUUUUUUGCAUGCGCUAGGGCAUUGUACAUGAAAGGGAAGAAAGUAUAAAUGGCUAUUCCAAUUUUAAUCUGCAUACACUCCCCUUGUUGAGGGCCCUUGGAAUUAAAUUUAGAAUUUUUCCAAAAAGGAUUUUAAAUAUUUUUGAAAUCAUUCACAUUUCCAGUUUUCCAAGGGUAUUACAUGCAUUUUCAAGGGGGAAAAGUCAAAUUUACUUGGAUAUCCAUGGGGUGGGUUGGGAGGCAUGUAAAUAAUUUAAAUAGGGGGUUUACUUGCUUGGAAGUUCCAUAAGAAGGGCAAGAAAAAGGGUUCCUCGACAGUGGGGGGAUUGGAAUUGGAAUAGCCUGAUGACAGGGGUGGUCGGGAGGAGGGAUAGGGAUGCACAUUGCUGCAAUUAAUUGAUGCAUAACAACAAAAUCAAGACAUAACAACAAGAUCAGUUGGACUAUUAGUAAAACCAGGAACACCGGAACUAUGGAACACCGGAACAGCAUCAUUCUGGAACACGGAACAGCGGAACACUAAAGAAUCUUAAUUUGUUAAAAAUUCGAGAAAAAAAUUACCGGGGUGUGUGAAAUUAUUGCUCACACCGCUUGGAUUUCCGAAGAAAAUUAUUUGCCAAUUUCUUCAUGGUUGUAAGCCUGGUUGUAAAUGCAGACCUACGACAUGUACAUGUGAUGUGGUGAUAACCUUGCCAAUCCAUUUAAACACCAAAGGCAACAUGAAAGAGAUAAUUCACUCUGCUCUUAUCGAUUGCCUAGAUUUUGGAUUGUUGUAGCUGUGGUGGACAUUAUAAAGAUUUUACUGUUUCCUGCCAUGUUAUGUUACUGCGCAGACAAAACUUAUUUGUAAAUUUAUUUACGGGCAUGUACACAAGCGACUUCGCCAAGAUUUGUUUUCAAUUGCUGUUGCAUGAGAUUGAAUACCUAACUUAUGAAUGUUUUAUGGUGUACACACAUCAUUACAUCAAACGUUCUUUAGUGAUACAGUCUCAAAUCAAUUGCAUGUGUCAGGAGAAGAAAUAUCACGCCAAACUUGCUUGCAGAGUAAACACACCAUACAUGGGCGGUUUUCAUUAAUGACACGGCUAGAC